UUAAAUAACCUGUCCUGACUUUUAAAAUUCCCUUUCUUAACAGACUAAAAGGAGCUGUGAAGGUUCCAGCAGCAGCUGUUGGGAUGUUCUGCAUCCUGACAGGAAAUGCAGGCUGACACUUGGAGCAGGAGAAUCCCAGGAGAGGCGUCCUCAGUGCCCUCCUUUAGUUCCUCAGGGAUGUGUUAAUCCGCAGGAAAUUCCUCCCAGGAAGAGCCACAAGGCAAAAAAUUCCUUCAAGGUUAAA